GACGAACGCUGGCGGCGUGCUUAACACAUGCAAGUCGAACGGUGAAGCAGAGCUUGCUCUGUGGAUCAGUGGCGAACGGGUGAGUAACACGUGAGUAACCUGCCCUUGACUCUGGGAUAAGCGUUGGAAACGACGUCUAAUACCGGAUAUGACCUUCGGACGCAUGUUCUGUUGGUGGAAAGAUUUUUUGGUCAAGGAUGGACUCGCGGCCUAUCAGCUUGUUGGUGAGGUAAUGGCUCACCAAGGCGACGACGGGUAGCCGGCCUGAGAGGGUGACCGGCCACACUGGGACUGAGACACGGCCCAGACUCCUACGGGGGGCAGCAGUGGGGAAUAUUGCACAAUGGGCGCAAGCCUGAUGCAGCAACGCCGCGUGAGGGACGACGGCCUUCGGGUUGUAAACCUCUUUUAGUAGGGAAGAAGCGAAAGUGACGGUACCUGCAGAAAAAGCACCGGCUAACUACGUGCCAGCCGCCGCGGUAA
rnacentral:rRNA from 1 species